rnacentral:rRNA from 1 species
AUGAAGAGCAUUGUGACUGAGUGGCGGACGGGUGAGUAACGCGUGGGUAACCUGCCUUAUACUGGGGGAUAACAGCCAGAAAUGACUGCUAAUACCGCAUAAGCGCACGGGGCCGCAUGGCCCUGUGUGAAAAACUCCGGUGGUAUAAGAUGGACCCGCGUUGGAUUAGCUAGUUGGCAGGGCAGCGGCCUACCAAGGCGACGAUCCAUAGCCGGCCUGAGAGGGUGAACGGCCACAUUGGGACUGAGACACGGCCCAGACUCC